AGUGAACGCUGGCGGUAGGCCUAACACAUGCAAGUCGAACGGCAGCACAGUAAGAGCUUGCUCUUACGGGUGGCGAGUGGCGGACGGGUGAGGAAUACAUCGGAAUCUACUUUUUCGUGGGGGAUAGCGUAGGGAAACUUACGCUAAUACCGCAUACGACCUACGGGUGAAAGCAGGGGAUCUUCGGACCUUGCGCGAUUGAAUGAGCCGAUGUCGGAUUAGCUAGUUGGCGGGGUAAAGGCCCACCAAGGCGACGAUCCGUAGCUGGUCUGAGAGGAUGAUCAGCCACACUGGAACUGAGACACGGUCCAGACUCCUACGGGAGGCAGCAGUGGGGAAUAUUGGACAAUGGGCGCAAGCCUGAUCCAGCCAUACCGCGUGGGUGAAGAAGGCCUUCGGGUUGUAAAGCCCUUUUGUUGGGAAAGAAAAGCAGCAGGUUAAUACCCCGCUGUUCUGACGGUACCCAAAGAGUAAGCACCGGCUAACUUCGUG
rnacentral:rRNA from 1 species